rnacentral:rRNA from 1 species
GAUGAACGCUAGCGGCAGGCCUAACACAUGCAAGUCGAGGGGUAACAUAGAAAAGCUUGCUUUUCUGAUGACGACCGGCGCACGGGUGCGUAACGCGUAUACAACCUACCUUUUAGCGGGGAAUAGCCCAGGGAAACUUGGAUUAAUGCCCCAUAGUAUAUAAGCUUCUCCUGAAGUUUAUAUUAAACAUUUAUGGCUAUUAGAUGGGUAUGCGUCCUAUUAGUUAGUUGGUAAGGUAACGGCUUACCAAGGCAGCGAUAGGUAGGGGUCCUGAGAGGGAGAUCCCCACACUGGUACUGAGACACGGACCAGACUCCUACGGGAGGCAGCAGUGAGGAAUAUUGGACAAUGGGCAAGAGCCUGAUCCAGCCAUGCCGCGUGCAGGAAGACUGCCCUAUGGGUUGUAAACUGCUUUUACAGAGGAAGAACCACCCCCACGUGUGGGGGUUUGACGGUACUCUGCGAAUAAGGAUCGGCUAACUCCGUG